rnacentral:piRNA from 1 species
UNGUGGUACCCUAACUGAACCCAUUUCAGCC